rnacentral:rRNA from 1 species
GACGAACGCUGGCGGCGUGCUUAACACAUGCAAGCCGAACGGAAAGGCCCUGCUUUUGUGGGGUGCUCGAGUGGCGAACGGGUGAGUAACACGUGAGUAACCUGCCCUUGACUUUGGGAUAACUUCAGGAAACUGGGGCUAAUACCGGAUAGGAGCUCCUGCUGCAUGGUGGGGGUUGGAAAGUUUCGGCGGUUGGGGAUGGACUCGCGGCUUAUCAGCUUGUUGGUGGGGUAGUGGCUUACCAAGGCUUUGACGGGUAGCCGGCCUGAGAGGGUGACCGGAGGAGUUGGGAAUGAGGGAAGACGGAGGAUAGGACGGGGGGAAGCGGGGGGGGAGGGGGAGGAGGGGGAGGAGGGGGGACGCAGAAACGCCGGGUGGGGGAUGAGGGCGGGGGGGUGGGGAAAAAAUUGAGACGGUGACGAAGAGGGAGGGACGGGAAUUGGUAAAGAAGAACCGGCGAACUAAGGG